rnacentral:rRNA from 1 species
CAGUCGCCGCGGUAACACGUAUGUCGCAAGCGUUAUCCGGAAUUAUUGGGCAUAAAGGGCAUCUAGGCGGCCAGACAAGUCUGGGGUGAAAACUUGCGGCUCAACCGCAAGCCUGCCCUGGAAACUGUUUGGCUAGAGUGCUGGAGAGGUGGACGGAACUGCACGAGUAGAGGUGAAAUUCGUAGAUAUGUGCAGGAAUGCCGAUGAUGAAGAUAGUUCACUGGACGGCAACUGACGCUGAAGUGCGAAAGCUAGGGGAGCGAACAGGAUUAGAGACCCCCGUAGUCCCUGUCUCUUAUAC